CCCCAAUUCAAUUCCAACGUACCCUACCUUAACCCCCAUCGCAAAAGUCACAACCAACCACGUCGCCAUACCAUGACAAUCCGUUCAAUGCCUCUAGUACUUCAAUGGCUUUUCUUUAUCCGAAUAGAUUCAUCGAGUCUGAAUCUGGAUCAUUGAAAUAUUAUUCUAAUUUGUUGAACAUAUGAACAAAAUUUAUGAUUUAAACCAUCAAUAAUCAAUUAGCAUAGUAUUGAAGGCAAUGGAACUUCUCGACGAGAAUCAAUUACAUUACCAUAGAGCGUUGAUGAUUUCCUCCCUCUCUUUAUUCUCCAUUUAUCCUUCAUCAUUGGUGGAAGACUAGCAGUAAAAUACAACUGAAUACAUUUCCUUAAGAAGAUCCAUUCUAUCUAAUUUAUAAUAGGGGAUUUGUUCUCUUCCAAACAUGAGAGAAUAGAAUAUAAUAUGGAAAGUCUCAUUUAGCAGCCUUGAAAUAUAGUUACUGAUUCUAAGGGCAUGUUCGUACGGCCGAUCUUGUGAUUAUCGGGACUUGAGACGAAGUCUGUAUAUUAGGCCCCCCAGCGAAAGCAAUGUAGAUACAAAAUUCAACGGUGUAUUAUACAACCCAUUGCUAACUUAAAAAAGUAACAUUAAAACAACAACAAAAUAUAUUAAAUUAUUCACAUUGUUGCUUUUAAAGUACUUGUCGAUAUCCCCUACUUGACUUUGAAUUAAUUCAAUUUCAUUUCUUUUCCUUUUUCUCUUUCAAACACCAGACUCAUAUUUAGGAGGCAUGAUGUAUGAGUCUAUAUCUGAUACUCAAUGAUUAACCUAAAAAACAAUUACAAAAUAUCUUAAUCAUCUUACAGUUGGAGUUUUCAAUAUAGUUAUUAUGUGCGCCUUUGCAGUUGUUGAUCCUCCAAUAAUCAAUCAUAUAGGUCGACCAAGUCGUAAUUAUAUAAGCUGAAAAGGCUUCAAAUAUUUUCAAUCUCUUCAGUAACAAUUUAGGACAAACCAUUGCUUACAUGAGAAUUAGAAUUUCUACGAAAACUGUGGAGUUACACCUUCGAGAAUUCCACUGUCACAAGACUCACAACUCACGACCCUAAAACAAAAAUUUCACAUCAAGCUCUAAUUUGACAUGAUCAUCAAACUUAGGGAAACAACAAUUGCACAUUUUACCUAUCAUUCUAUCAAACUAAGUUAUUCAAAUUAACUAUAAACUAUUUUACACUUACACAUGAUAGGAG
rnacentral:lncRNA from 1 species